GGCGAGAUGGCCGAGCGGUCUAAGGCGCUGUGUUAAGGUUUUCUUCUGCUUCUUUGCAAAAGAUCAUCCGCAGUCUUCGGACGUGGGUUCGAAUCCCACUCUCGUCA
rnacentral:tRNA from 1 species